ensembl:lncRNA
CACGUUUAAGUCAUAUUCUGUUUGGUUUGCAAACCUUGCAGCCAGAUUUUAAAGAAAUUAACCCAAAAAUGGAAAAUUGCUUAUUCACCCUCAUAGAUGUAUGUCAUCAUAGAUGUAGAUGAACUUCUACAUGGGAACAAAUUUGAAGAAAUUCAGCAGUAUAUCACUUACUCGCCAAUGGACCCUCUGCAGUGAAUGGGUGCCGUCAGAAUGAGAGUCCAAACAGCUGGAAAAAAACAAAACAAAAUCCAUACCACUCCAGUCCAUUAACAUCUUCUGAAGUUAAAAGCUGCAUGUUUGUAAAAAACUAAUCCAUCAUCAAGAUGUUAAAUCAUACCAUAUUACUUAAAAUACAAGGAUGCUUACAAAAAAGGCAUUGGAACAGCCUUCUUUUUCAUUGUAUCCUAUGCAACCUCUUAUCCUACUGACUGUAACUCAGUACACAUUCAACAUGCUGUAGUUGCAGAUGUCAUUUGUAGCAUGUUCUCAAUGCGUUGUUGUAGAAUGAAUUGUUAAAGAUUACACAUCAUCCAGUUGAUCACCUAAAAGUCAGCAUGAAAUGGAAGGUGUGACAGAUUUUACUAUAUUGUGAUGUAAUUCUGAGUGAAUCAAGAAAACGGCAUGGGCUGGGACUUGGUUAUUAUCCACCAGUUGAUGAAUGGAUGGUAAAAGUGAAUUUUGCAUAUUGUAAUGUCAUGAUUGUAAUUGAUCUGAAUGCAACUGCGUAACUGCAUUAUAUGUAAUUUGUCAGUUAAGAGUCUUUUCUUCCCUAUUGUGAAAAAAUCUGUUUUUAUGAAAUAUUGUUCAUAGUGACUGGGCUAUGCAUAUGUGACAAACUAAUCAUAUAAGCAGAUGAAUACAGACAAAAAAAAAAAUUAUACACUUUAUUGGGUGUAAUUAAUUGUAUUUUUUUCUUGUACUGUAGUUGUUCUUUAGCUUUACAUCUUUCUACUGAUCCCCUUUUCUUUAGUCAGAUGUUAAAAAAAAACUUAUUAGGGAUGUUGGGAGACUUUGUAAUAUGUGUAGAAAUUAAAAAUAAAAAUAGAAAAUAGAGUGUGUAAAAAAUAAACAAUGUACAGAGCUAAAUGCAUGAAUGUUGUGUAGUGAGCAGCAUUGCCUCUGUUUGUGCAGAAGCUGACGCAGUACAGAGACUCAAGUCUAGUGUGCACCAGAGUGUGAAAUACUGUAAAGACACUCUAACCAGUGGCAGUUUCAUCUUACAUAAUCACUCUCACAAACACACAAACAUCUUAUCUAAUUAAAACAGCUCACUUUCUGUAGAUAUAUAAAACAAAGAACACUACGGUCAUAUCUCAUAAUACAAUUUUGCUAAAAAUCUAAGAUAAACCCAAUGCAAAUAAACAUAGCUUACAUGCAACACACAAUUCUGGGUGUGCACAUUACAUGUGUUGGUCUGAAGUGCUGGGGUGAGAUAUCCCAAAGUGGUGACUUUCUUAAAAGGUGCUGUUAUCAAAUUAAUGGUAUGACAGGUGCAUUCAUAAAAGAAUUAUGGGAUUAUGCAGUUCAACAGCAACUAAACAGAAAUUUAAACAACAUCAACCUGCCCAUCAAUGGUUAAUUGUAAUUACUGAAAUAUUUCAAACAAUCUGUUUAUUAUUGCUCAUAAUGUACAUAUGGUUAAUGAUUCUCCAAACAUUUCAGCAUGUUUGGAGAAUCAUGCAUAAAGCAUGUAAUCACUUAAUAAAGUCAGCGUAAAACAGCAUGAACAUAUUUUCUUCUCUAUUGUGACAUAUAUUCGAGUGAAACAGCUUUUUGAAUGAAAAAGGGGGUUAGGACUUGGCAGGGUAGAGACCCAAACGGGUUGGGUAGAGAUCCAGGUAGAGCUGGAGGAAUAGAGGACCAGCGCAACACAAUAGACAUUGUAGGCCCAGAUGACCAAGGCGGGGUUGAAGGGUCAGAGUAGUAAGACAUAGCCAGGAAAAAGGAAAACUGAGACAGGCAUGGAUGACAGUGGAGCAACAGGGGUGAAGGGCCCACAUGCAGGAAAAGGCCUGGAAGUCCAUGACAAAGCCAGGGGAAUUACAGACCAAGUCGGAGCUGGAGGGACGCGGGAGCCUGGUUGAGGUGGGUUGAAGGGCCAAAGCAGAGUUAUGGACUCGGAGGGAUGUGGUGGAGCCGGAGGGCCAUAAGUCCCAGGUUGCUGAGAGUGCUUCUUGUGGGACAGGAGACCAUGGUCACACCAAGAGAGCUAGCACAGCUGGAGAACGAGGAGACAAAGAGUCUGGCAGCUUUUGUACAGAAGGAAGGGUUCCGGUAGGGGUCUUAGAGGACCCCUAGCACUGCACUGUCUCCCUUAUCAGACAUACCCAAUUAAUGGUCUUGCAGUCUCUACUAAUGAGCUGAUGAAUAGAAUCAGGUGUGUUAGAUGAGGGAGACAUAAAAUGUGCAGUGCUAGGGACAGGUUAUUAGGGAGUCUCUAGGGCUGAAUGGAACUAGAGGAAGAUGGAGCUGGGGAGUCUAACAAGCCAGAGUCUUUCAGGGGAAAGUAAUUCCAAGGCGGCAGCCUGGAUAGGAGUUUACUCCACCGUCAUCAGUGCUGCCAUUGCUGGCUCAAAUAUGGACAGGACAGCAAGCGCUGUAGGUGGACUUGGCAGCUGGCUCUGGGAUGAAUAUGACCUCUGACUGAGGGUCCACGAUGGGCAUGGGCGAGGACACCGACAAUGGGUAGGGGAAGUUCAAGCAAAGGAGGAUGUAUAUAUUAUUCUCCAUUUCUGGCUUGUCCACAUACCCAUUAUAAUUGGGACCAACCCAAAACGUCAUCUACAGGUUUGCUUCGUCUUAGAUGGUGCACCUCACCAACUCACAAAACCUCACUGAAUUUUAAUAAUAAUAAUAAGUUUUAUUUAUAUAGCACCUUUCCAGAGCUCAAGGACGCUUUGCAAUAAACAUCAGAAUUAUGAGGAUAACAUCAAACAAACAAUUAAACAAUAAUACAGAAAGUAACGUAAAGAGAACAUCAGACAUCCAGAGAGUAAUAUAUGGAUAAGACAACAUAAAACAGAAUAAACAGAAGUCAACAUAAGAAAGGUAACAUUGUGAAAACAAAUGAGUUUUGAGCAGCAAUUUAAAUUCAGACAGGUUAUUGGCAAGACAGAGUGAUCUGGGAAGAGAGUUCCAUAAUUCAGGGGCAACAACACAAAGAAAUUCUUUCUUAGAUCAAGAUCCACAAAAGCUGCUGCUAUCCAUGUUUCCAUUCUUCUAUCAUGGUGUGGUCGAGGCAGGAUCCUAAUGAUAUUAAAUGAAAACAAAACGCUCAGCAAUACAGAAACAAACACAGGAUCUAAGGGGUCAUAUGACGUUGCUAAAAAGAACAUUAUUUUGUGUAUUUAGUGUAAUUGUGAAUAGCGUUUACGUGGUUUAAGGUUCAAAAACACAUUAUUUUUCCACAUACCAUACAUGAUUGUUGCUCCUCUCUGCCAUGCCUUUCUGAAACGUGUUGACUUUUACAAAGCUCAUCAUUCUGGAAAGUGUGGUGUGCUCUGAUUGGCCGGCUAUCCUGUGUAUUGUGAUUGGCCGGAUACCUCAAGCGUGUGACGGAAAUGUUACUCCCCUUACCAUAUUUGGAUUAUCAUGACGGUGGGAGCAACAAUACUACAGCGAGAAUAAAAGUUAUGUCUUCUUUCUUUGCAUAUACAUUUGGGCGGUGUUAUGAAAAUCUUGCCACACAGUGAUGUAGAUAUGUAUAUGUGGGGGCAUGUUUGAAUGAGGUGUUUUAGGAAGGCGUGGAUGAGUCUUAACUUUUAGAAAGAAUAUUUCUUUGGGUUUGAGACUUUCAUCUUUGCGACUUUACUGAUAUAUAUGCACAAACAGCUUGUAACACUCCAAAGACAAAAAAAAAAAAAAACAUGAAAUCACGUCAUAUGACCCCUUUAAGUAAACAUGGGUUAUACAUCGACUGUGCCAAAAAAAAAACCAAGACACAGGUAGGAUUAUUUUAUUACUGACCAAAUUAAUUAUGAAGGCAACAAAUGAGAGUGGGAAUAAACACAAGUAAAAAAUAAAAAAAUAAAAACAAUGGAAGGUAAUGAACAGAUAUAACAAUUGGAUAAUUGUUGUUUGCUAACUGCUGUGAUCAUGUGAGUGACAGGUGUGCUGCCCUUGCCUCAGUGCACACAUCAUCAGAGAAGAGAUGUUGCUGUGAGGGAUUACUGGAUCAAAGCACAAAAGGAAAAUAAAUUCAGCCUCAAUUGGGAAUUACUUAAACAUGAAAUUAGCAAGUGUGCUAGGAAUUUUGGCAGCCUUCUAGCUAAACGUAAAAGACUUGAAGAGGAGUCAGUCAUUUCCAAAAUAAUGACUCUCUCUGGUAAAAUGCAGGUUGGUUUGUCAGAAGCUGAAUUGGCAGAAUUUAUUGAUCUGCAAACUCAGUUAGAUAGAUUCAAUGUAUAAGAAUAAGGCAGAGUGCGCUUUUAUUCGCUCUAGAAAAAGGUGGCUAGAGCAAGGAGAACAAAGUACAGCAUAUUUUUUCCGAAUGGAAAAGAAUAAUUUUAGAAAUCUAACUAUUAA